rnacentral:rRNA from 1 species
CCGGAUCUCAGAUCAAGCAAGAG